rnacentral:rRNA from 1 species
GACGAACGCUGGCGGCGUGCCUAGUACAUGCAAGUCAGGACGCACAGUUUAUACCGUAGCUUGCUACACCAUAGACUGUGAGUUGCGAACGGGUGAGUAACGCGUAGGUAACCUGCCUAUUAGAGGGGGAUAACUAUUGGAAACGAUAGCUAAUACCGCAUAACAGUAUGUAACACAUGUUAGAUGCUUGAAAGAUGCAAUUGCAUCGCUAGUAGAUGGACCUGCGUUGUAUUAGCUAGUAGGUAGGGUAAACGCCUACCUAGGCAACGAUACAUAGCCGACCUGAGAGGGUGAUCGGCCACACUGGGACUGAGACACGGCCCAGACUCCUACGGGAGGCAGCAGUAGGGAAUCUUCGGCAAUGGGGGGAACCCUGACCGAGCAACGCCGCGUGAGUGAAGAAGGUUUUCGGAUCGUAAAGCUCUGUUGUUAAGGAAGAACGAGUGUGAGAAUGGAAAGUUCAU